GGACAGAUAUGAUAUGGGUUGGAGCUAAGAUUCAAUAGAAAUUUACCCUACUUUGUGUUUUAUCCUUACAGAUAUGUUUGAAUUAGUGAUAUGAGGUUGAAUGAAGUGAAAUAUUAAUUAUAGGAUUCCAUAUAUGUACUAGAAAGAAGAUUACACUUCACAAGAAUGUAAACUUUUGAUCUAGUGUUUGUUAGAGUACAUUAAAAAGAAAGAAGAUUACACUUCACAUGAAUCAUAUUGUUAUGAAUUACACUCCCCCAUCAUAUCAGUUAUGAUUGAUUUACAAUGUAUAGUUGAAAAUGGCAUCAAGGAAUUGCAUUUGGAUUUUCCUACAGGUUUCUAAACAGGGUUGGCAUUAAGUUGCCUUCUUCAUUUUCUUGCGUUCUGAAAGGGUAUGAACCCUUUUAUAAGAACAAAGAAUAACAAAAUAACAAUGGAUGUGAUGGAACCUUGUACUGAUAUGAUUAAUUGAGUGAAUAGAACAAGAAUUGUUUAAUGUAAAUUAAGCAAAAGAGGACAGAAUCCUUUUAGGGAAAAAGCAGGAAAAGUGCAGUAGAAAAUCUGCAAGAGCAGUACAGGAAAAAAGGAAAUAAUGCAGAAUUCAGAGUCUCAGAGAGAGAGGCCUUGAGCUGUCAUAUUCCACACCCUCUCCUAGUGAAAAUCACUCUAUUUAAUCAAAUUUUUUGUUACGCUUUCUUUCUUUGUUGCUCCUUCUUAGUCCCUUGAUUUUUUUUUUUGAACAAUCUUCUUAGUCCCUUGAUGAUAGGAGGAACACGCACCAUCUGUCCUCUAGACCCAUGUGCUUCAACUGGUUUAUUCUCCCUUGGUUUAUUCUCCCUUGAUGGUGUAUCCUCUGAAAAGUGAAAUACUAACUAGUUAAAAAAAAAAAUCCUAGUUAACUUAGCUAGCUGCAGUAACAGAAUUCAAAUAUACCAUUAACCAAUGGACACAAACAAUUUUUCUGUACUAGGGAAACGAGAUAAUAUGCAACACUUUUUACAUGAGGGGAACCUUAAAACUGACCAUUCUAGAACCUGGGUGUACCUUUCCGUAAAUAAAUCAAAAGCCAUGCUC
rnacentral:lncRNA from 1 species